ensembl:lncRNA
CACAUUUCACAAACGCAUGUUUUUUCAUUUCCGUCAUUAGCCAGUGACAACAAUGGGGGUGGCAAGUGGAAUCAGGUGACAGCACUUGGACGUUACAAGCUGCAGCGAGACAGGAGUAACGGGACUAUGGAUAAAUGAAUGCAUUCAAAUCCGACCAAUGAGAAGUGAGAAAUAUCCAUGAGUCUCCUCCUGGGUGUUACUGCUGAGGCCGAAGGAUUGUGAUUCGACCACUCGACGGGUACUUGAAAUGUUUCGACGCUCUCAAUUAAAGUAAGCUAAAUUAAAAGCAUUACAUCACGGUUAAUGCAGACCGACAAGAUUUUUCUGAACUUCAAGAAAAGUCUGUAGCUGCAAGUCAAUGAUGAUACAGCAGCCAAAGUAUAGCCUGUGUGGCCAAUUUAUUUAGAAUGUACAAGACAGGAUAAAACAAAAAAACUUAUUUGGCCAUGAAUGAAAAAGACUUGCACUGACACACAGAAGAAAUAUCUGCAAAAAAUCAAAUAGUCAUACAAACUGGACCACCAUGUUCUUACAAAUCCUGUUCCUAAUAUGUUCAGUUUGUAAUACUCAUGGUGUUGCUAGUACUGCAUCACCAUCGUGUGCCAGUGAUGAAUACAGAGCGGGACAGCUCUGCUGCCUUUCAUGUCCUGGUGGUAAGAGUCCAUUAACCCAGCUGUUGUCAAGCUGUUGUCCAAAUACUUCUGUAUGAUUUCUUCAACCAAAUCCAUUG